ACAAAUACCACGUCCUUAUCACGUCAACAACACAUCAAUAACUAUUCAAUUAAAUCUGAAGAGCCAUCAAUUAACUUAAAUCAAAUAAAUUAAAAGGUUAGAUACUAAAAGUAAAAUUUUGAAAGAUUGAAUAAUUGAAUCAAAAUAAUUUAUAAUUCAGAUAAAUUUUACACAUUUUUAUCCUAAAAUUUUAAGCCAGAAACUGCAAUAAACUAAGAUAAGUACGAUUUACCCUACCUGAUUUAGCGCCACCCUAUACAUAAAAAAAAUAUUACUUUAUUACCCUCUCUUACGGCAAAUAUUUUUAGCAAAAUAAAAAAUAAAAUUACAGUAUAAUUAAGUGUAAUUUUUUGUACCUGAUUUUACUUUUUUAACC
rnacentral:lncRNA from 1 species